GCGCUUUGGGAUAGCCACCGGAAACGGUGAUUAAUACCGGAUAGGACCAAUUCACGCAUGUGAUGUUGGUGGAAAGUUUUUUCGGCCCAGGAUGUGCUCGCGGCCUAUCAGCUUGUUGGUGAGGUAACGGCUCACCAAGGCUUUGACGGGUAACCGGCCUGAGAGGGUGACCGGUCACACUGGGACUGAGACACGGCCCAGACUCCUACGGGAGGCAGCAGUGGGGAAUAUUGGACAAUGGGCGGAAGCCUGAUCCAGCAACGCCGCGUGAGGGAUGACGGCCUUCGGGUUGUAAACCUCUUUCAGUACAGACGAAGCGCAAGUGACGGUAGGUACAGAAGAAGGACCGGCCAACUACGUGCCAGCAGCCGCGGUAAUACGUAGGGUCCGAGCGUUGUCCGGAAUUAUUGGGCGUAAAGGGCUCGUAGGCGGUUUGUCGCGUCGGGAGUGAAAACACCGGGCUUAACUCGGUGCUUGCUUUCGAUACGGGCAGACUAGAGGUAUUCAGGGGAGAACUGGAAUUCCUGGUGUAGCGGUGAAAUGCGCAGAUAUCAGGAGGAACACCGGUGGCGAAGGCGGUUCUCUGGGCAUUACCUGACGCUGAGGAGCGAA
rnacentral:rRNA from 1 species